rnacentral:rRNA from 1 species
GUGGGGAAUAUUCCGCAAUGGACGAAAGUCUGACGGAGCAACGCCGCGUGAGUGAUGAAGGUUUUCGGACUGUAAAGCUCUGUUGUUUAGGACGAAAGUGCCUGUUGCGAAUAGUUACAGGUAUUGACGGUACUGAACGAGGAAGCCACGGCUAACUACGUGCCAGCAGCCGCGGUAAUACGUAGGUGGCAAGCGUUGUCCGGAAUUAUUGGGCGUAAAGAGCAUGUAGGCGGGAAUCUAAGUCUGUUGUGAAAAUGCGGGGCUCAACCCCGUAUUGCGAUGGAAACUGGGAUUCUUGAGUACCGGAGAGGAAAGCGGAAUUCCCCGUGUAGCGGUGAAAUGCGUAGAUAUGGGGAGGAACACCAGUGGCGAAGGCGGCUUUCUGGACGGUGUCUGACACUGAGGCACGAAAGCCAGGGGAGCGAACGGGAUUAGAAACCCCAGUAGUCC